ensembl:miRNA
GCAGGUAAGCCACUGACUAACGCACAUUGCGCCUAUUCUCCACUCCACUGUGCGUGUGACAGCGGCUAACCAG